ensembl:snRNA U6 U6 spliceosomal RNA
GUACUUCCUUUGGCAGCACAUAUACUAAAAUUGGAACGACACAGAGAAGAUUAGCAUGGCCCCUGUGCAAGGAUGACAUGUAAAUUUGUGAAACGUUCCAUAUUUUU